rnacentral:rRNA from 1 species
UACGUAGGGUGCAAGCGUUGUCCGGAAUUAUUGGGCGUAAAGGGCUCGUAGGCGGUUUGUCGCGUCGGGAGUGAAAACACCGGGCUUAACUCGGUGCUUGCUUUCGAUACGGGCAGACUAGAGGUAUGCAGGGGAGAGCGGAAUUCCUGGUGUAGCGGUGAAAUGCGCAGAUAUCAGGAGGAACACCGGUGGCGAAGGCGGUUCUCUGGGCAUUACCUGACGCUGAGGAGCGAAAGUGUGGGGAGCGAACAGG